rnacentral:rRNA from 2 species
UACAGAGGUCUCAAGCGUUGUUCGGAUUCAUUGGGCGUAAAGGGUGCGCAGGCGGCGGGGCAAGUCGGACGUGAAAUCUCGGGGCUCAACCCCGAAACUGCGUUCGAUACUGCCUUGCUCGAGGACUGGAGAGGAGACUGGAAUUCCUGGUGUAGCAGUGAAAUGCGUAGAUAUCAGGAGGAACGCCAAUGGCGAAGGCAAGUCUCUGGACAGUUCCUGACGCUCAUGCACGAAGGCCAGGGGAGCAAACGGG